GUGCAAUUCAUUGUGAAUUGUUUUACACGUAACACUGUUGACUUGCGUCAGCAAACAAAACGGGCGCAUAUGGGAUUAAAUAAAACCGUGAUUGAAUCGCACAUUACCAACGAAGAAACGGCAACUGUACGAGGAACUGGAUGAACUCAGGCGGAAUCGGAGCAGAGAAAUAGCGAGGAUAGUUGAGGAGUGUCACGCGACGAAGCGAGCCACUUGCGAAGCUUUCCGCUCGAUGGUGGACGAGAAGCGGAGAAAGGGUACCAUUUUUCCCCAUAUAUUUUUCCCGAUGUAUCUCUAUAUUUCACGUCAAGAUUGCCGAGAGAAAUUUUCAUGAAGACAUUUUCAUAAGCUGCUGAGAUCAGUGAGGAGUCGCGCCGGUUGCGACUUGCGCUGAUAAAACAAAAAGAAGAGGACGCGCGCAAAAAGAUUCAUUUGAUACGCGAGAUCAAAGCAAGUCGAACAACGCGGCCGGAUCCCGUAGAAUCGAGCGGCUUGGGAUUCCUGUGCGAGGUGUCCAUGACCGAGGUUCGCCCUGCCAUAAAUCGCGAGGUUGACUUUUGCGGGCUUCCUGACGUGGAAACGAGCGCAAACUGCAGAUUUUUUGCGGUUACAGCUGGGAAAGAAAGUGCUGUCCGCAAAGGCGAGGCUGAAGGAGGAAGCCGAGCGUCGGAAUACCGUCAUCCGUCAGGAACACGAGAGGAGGAGAAAUUUAAUGAGAAGCAAUCAGCAAUUCCUCGAACGAUAUAAAGCCACCAGACAAGCGAUUUAUUCGUCGAGUAAUAGCCAAGCCGCUAUUAUUGAUUUCCCGGAGAUUGAACGUCUUUGGAGAGCAUUGAAGGAACGGAAGACGUGCAGAUGUGAAGAACAGAAGAGAUGAUAAUUCAAUGAUAAUUCGUGUGAUCCGAGAAAUUCUUGAAUCGGGAAACAGCAUUAUUCAUGAGUGAUAACAUUAAAAAAUAUUCUCUGUUAAAUUACUUUGUCAUGUAUUCUUACUUAUUACUGCUAAAUUAAACAAAUAAUAGUAUAUGGGCGUAUUUACCUCAGUAUAUCAAUCUUAUUAGAAGCAAACAGUUUUCAAGACAGAAGUAUUAUUAAAAGUCAUUAUUUUUAAGUACCGGUUUUAUUCAAGGAAAAAAAAACGACAUAUUGAUGCGUAGUAAAAAACUAAAUAACUAGCCUAGAAAUAACUUGGAGUUAUUACUGUCCGUCAUAAAGAAUAAGAACAUAUAUCUUUUUUGCAAUUUUUGCAAUUGGCAUGAGCAAUAUUUUCUGUAAUAGUUGUAGAAUGUUCCGACGAAUUAAUAGAUAUAUUCAAGCCCGUUCCUAGACACACACACAUAUUCACACGAAUAACACGGCUAUUGUCUCCGCUCGCCUCGGUAUUUUCACAACAUGUUUGUCUCAUUUUCGCGGACUCAACGUUCCCUUUCAAGGAAAUCGAAGCAUUCGCAAACGAGAGUUCACACGCACAGGCGGUCGCGGGCAGCUCUAGAGAAUAAAAUCUCAAGUUCGUACAAACGCUCAGAUUGCAGUAUCAGUGCCAUUCUCAUCCUCCAUCCCACUCAAAAGUCCCUCCAACUAUUAACAUAGAAAAAUAUUGGUUGUGCUGCAAAUAUGCAAAAUAAAAUAUUUUUCUAUGUAUAAGCAUCCAUACACACACAAAAGCUUCGUGCAACGUUCACAUUUGCAAUUUACAAUUUUUGCAAGUGAUAUCGGAUAUGUUCAAUCAUUUACUCGGAUUGAUUGAAUCGAGGCACUUAUUUUAAUGUAUCGCACAGAUAAACUCGCUGACAGAGCAGCGAGCGACUUUCGCCGAGAUUAAUGAGCGCAGAAUUAGAUGUGCUUUAUGGUUGAAGAAUCGCGGCGUGUAAAUGUUACGUUACAUCGGCGUUGUUACGCAUAAUCAUUUCGAUUCUACUGCAUCAUUGCUAGGAUGCCUCUACUUCGGCACACUUUUCUAUCUUAUGCAUUACCAACUUAAAGAGUGAACGAGGAAACUCGAGAGAAACGUGCCGGAAGCGGGAAGGAACAAGAACAAGGAGACGUUUUUUUCAAUCAAUCAAAUUUAAUUAGUGAAUGAGCAAGUUUUGCGGUAUCUACACGCUGCAAAGACAAGGCGAUAAGAUCGGUUCCAGCAGUUAUGAAGAACAUGCAGCUGAAGGUGAUUGAUUCUACCAAUAACCAAAUGAAUCCACUGGCUCUGAAUCAGGUUGGAUCUCACAUAGCAACAAUCUCGAUUACUAUGACAAGGACAGUGAAGUCUACAUAUUAGGAUCAAGGAGAUCAAGAUCAAGGACUGCUUCUAUCCCACCGAAAUCGAGAGCUAUUCUGCAGUUCAUGAGACUGUUCAUGAGACGCGCAAUUUGACAAUAAACACUCUGUCGCCUUCGGAUCGAAGAUAUCCAGACAG